rnacentral:rRNA from 1 species
AUUGAACGCUGGCGGCAGGCCUAACACAUGCAAGUCGAGCGGCUGCAGGGAGCUUGCUCCUGGUUUCAGCGGCGGACGGGUGAGUAAUGCCUAGGAAUCUGCCUGGUUGUGGGGGCUAACGUCCGGAAAUGGGCGCUCAUACCGCAUACGUCCUGAGGGCGUACGUGUGGGAUCUUCGGACCUCACGCUAUCAGAUGAGCCUAUGUCGGAUUAGCUAGUUGGUGGGGUAAAGGCCUACCAAGGCGACGAUCCGUAACUGGUCUGAGAGGAUGAUCAGUCACACUGGAACUGAGACACGGUCCAGACUCCUACGGGAGGCAGCAGUGGGGAAUAUUGGACAAUGGGCGAAAGCCUGAUCCAGCCAUGCCGCGUGGGUGAAGAAGGUCUUCGGAUUGUAAAGCACUUUAGGUUGGGAGGAAGAGCAGUAAGUUAAUACCUUGCUGUUUUGACGGUACCAACAGAAUAAGCACCGGCUAACUUCGUG